ensembl:lncRNA
GUGCGCGUGACGUCACGGGGGCGGGGCCGGCGGCGCAGGUGGAGGCAGCGCGGAGCGGCCCCGCCGUACCCCGGGGAGGAGAGUAGCGGCGUGCUGGUAGUCCUUCUGCUGGAGUACAGCGUCCGUGCUUUGGUGCAGGGCAGCGUUUUGGCUCCGUUCUUUGGGCAGAGGCUCAGAGCUGCGGCAGCUGAAGGUUGGGGUCGGUUUGCGUUUGGCUUUGGCUGGCGAGGCUGAGUCGGGCGGGUGCUGCGGGCACUGCUGAGCCGGGAGCAGCGCGGGGCCGUGGGGACGGCUGCUCUGUGGCAGUCGGGGUGUUGCACCAUUUGACCGUCGGGGCCGUCACCCCGGGUGGGCUCUGUGGGGUCUGCAUGAAGUGGGCUGCGUGCUCCUUUCCACUAGAGGCUGCUGAUGGACAGAGGAUCAGUGUUCCCUGGCUGUGGAUGAGCGAUGGGGUCUGGCGUUCUCAGGGCUGUCCCGCCUGUCUGCUCUCCCGUCAGCCCACAGUAACUCUCUGCACUCUGUUAGGUCUCCAUUAGCGGAUAUAAAGGGGCACUGUGCUGGGGCACUGUGCUGGGGCACUGAUGGCAGCUCCACCCCUCUUCCCUGGGGCUGCCUGUGGCGUUUUCCCAGCUGCUCAGGGCAGGUGCUGGAUGUACCCCCGUGCUGUGUCCUGGAGGUGUGUGCGCUGCUCGCCCCUCCAGCAGCAAAGCCAGGGAUUGGUUACAGGCUGCAGGGAACGGCUCACUGCAUGGGAGGCGCCCAGCAGGGUGGCUCUGCUUGGGGCAGCGGUUUGGUACCUGGUGCUGAGACAGGUUGGAGUCCUGGAAAGCCCCAAACCUUGGGAAGAUGCUCAACUGCUGAACAGUUACACGUGGAGUGCGAGGCGCUGUGCUGCAUGCAUGCUGAGCCAUGGUGGAAGGUGCCUGGGAAGGAAUGUUGCACCCAACCUGCUGUGGUGGCUGCCAGCUGGCUCUGGCCCCACCAUGGGCAUGGCAGUGGUUUACAUAACACAGGGCUUGCAAAACAAGCUGGAAGGCCUGGAAAAUCCUCCUGCUGUUGUCAUUGCUCCGAGUUGCUGAACUUCCUGGUUGGAUUGGUG